rnacentral:lncRNA from 1 species
CAAGACCUGCGGGAGGGGAGCAUCAAUAGAUUCCAUAAAAUGUGACGUCUCAAAUCUUCAUAAAGAUUAUCUCCCGAGGUAUUAACUUCAGUGUAUCAUUGGAUUUAAGCGUUACAUAUACAUCUAUCCAACUACAUACGUAUACCAUGUUAAAAUUAAGUUUGGGUGUGGAUUAUGUGCUCAAACAGUGUAUUACUAAAAUGUCGCUCAUCCUUUUUAUCGUCCUGGCAUCAACCAUUUUUUGUCCUAUUGACGCCCAUCCCUUGAAUAAUACGGAUUUUCCAGAUAAUGACGAUAGAAUCAACGUGAUUCCGAAUCCUCCGGGCGUGGCAAUGAAUCCUCUGAAAGUGCUACAUCGACAGAAAAGGGGAGACCCAUGCUACGACGGGACAUGGAAAGGAGCGGUAGGAGGGGCGGUCGUUGCUGGAGUGCCCGGUGCCUAUGUGGGAGGUCAAUGGGGCGCUUUCGCUGGUACCCUCAUGUUCCCUGGCCUCGGGACGGCCGUAGGGGGCGCCGUGGGCGCAUUCAUCGGCGGCCUCGCGGCAGGCGCAACGGCCGCCGCCGGUGGUGCAGUGGGGGGCGCCGUCACCGGCGCCGCUUCCAGUUGUCUUUGAAUAAGAGUCCUGUCAACACCUUUGAUACCGGCAGAUCUGGCAUCUUGCUGUGUGCUCCGAAGUUUACUUACGAGAUUUAUACACAUCAGCACAGCGUACAAACUUUAUUCCUACUCAUUUCUGGAGUAUUCAUCAAAUCUGGGAGGGUUCCUUUGUAGCAACCUUCAAACUACGACUUUGUACAGAUGAUUAGGUACCUACUAUUUGCCUUUAAGGUCAUUCUAUUGGACCAGAAAUUAAUUUGUGGACCUUGAUCUCAUUUAGUAAAAUAAGUGUCAUUGUAUUAAUCCUACAAUGGACUAUAUAAUGGCAAAUUUUAACAGGCGGAUAAAACGCGCCCUAGAGAAAUGUUUAUACUUAUACUUAACUUUUCUGAUUCAGGCUAAGUUGACGUUACCUAUUAUUUGGUACUGUAAAAUGCUGAUGGUCGCAGUGAAACUUUAGUAAAGAAUACACAAGAGUAGAGUAAAAGAAUAAAAAUUUGCUGUCUCAGCAUUAAUUUGUAAGAGGCUUUUGGCGAAUCUUGAAAAGGCCAUGGUCAAUUUUGGCAAAAACAGAAUUGAACUCAUGUUGUGCAAAUCUGGGGUCUAUCCGACGAUGUAAAUAUAAUUGAUGUGUCAUUAAUGUAGGUACUCAGAUAGUAUAUUAAUCACUUCUUUGUAAAGAUAUUUUGUUAAACAAAUUCUUGUUGUUUAAUUUUUUAAAAAAAAUAGAAUAAUAAAAAAAGUGUGAGGCUACGGAGCAAUUAUUUAUUUCCCUUGCCUCAUCUCCUAGCCUACAAUGAGCUGCCAAAAGAAAUCCAAGCGAAUCAAAUGGAAUAAGCAAUUCAGUAUUGAAAGGAACUUAAAAGUAAAAAAAAAAUAAAUUAAAAAAAGAGCUCUAUUAGUAACGUUUAAAAUAAUUCAGUCUGACAUAUUUUAGAGUUUUAACGGGACAAUAUUGCUCAUUCCUUAUCUUUAAUUUGAUUUUCAAAUUGUCUUUCCUUUCUUAUGCAUCCAGCUCACAGUUAAUUACCUGCUUUUUCCAUUAGUUUCAGAUUCGUUUUCAUUUCUUUGGAUUUUGCACAUAUUCUGAUCUUAAGUAUUUACAAAAGAUAUAUUCAAUUAAAAAAAAAGGGGGGGGGGGUCUUGAAAUAACCUGGUGAAAGAGAAUUUCUCACAAUUCCAUAAAUGAAUUCUGUUGAAACGCCCAACACCUAGAAUUUUUACACAUUUUUUGGUGAUGAAAUGGAGAAGCUCAUUUAAUUUUUGAUGCAUGAUUUUACAUCUGCAGGAGUAUCACAGGAUAUCAUCGAUUAAAAAUCUUAAAAAACCUUUAUUUUUCCUUGUGCUUAGUAUUCUGAUCAAUAUAAAAGAGAGAAGUACACAAAAGCAACUAAAAAACCAGAAAAUACAAGAUUCUUUCAUAAAAACGUGAAAAAAUAUAGAUUUGACAGAUUUUAACACUUAGCAACUAUGAAAAAUGACACAUAAAAAUGAGAGUUUACAGGUGUAAAGUUAUUUACUACACCACAAAAAAAUAAAAUUAAAGCUCGCAAAUAGAAAUAGAGCAUAUCAUCCUGUAAAAUAUUUAUAAAAUUUGACACACGCUGAUGUAAAAAUUCUACUUGCCUCAACAUUAUAUACGUGAGCAUCUCUUUAUGGUAGGAAUCUUGAGGUGAAACAUCGCCAUUUAUACCACCACUUCUUACAGAAAAACUGAACUACAUUUUUUCUGUUACCUCUGUUUUACCUCUUCUUACGAAUUAGACUCAUCAAUAGCUAGAGUCUAAAAAUGUGUAUCUCCAGUUGAAAAGUCACAAACCUAUAACAUUUUUUGAAAUUUCCCUCAUUCAAAGUAUCGGGCAGAUCGUCUCGUGGAUCACAUCCGUCCAUACUCUCUGAAAAAAGGUACUUUAAAAUAUCCAUUGGAAAUUUCAAGAAGCUACUUUGGUAAGAUCCCUCUUAAAAAUGAAACAAAAUCUGAGAUUUUUUAGGUAACAGAGUUGUACAUUUGUUGACUUCAGCCAUCACUCUGCAUUUAAUCUGGAUAUUUGCCAUCAGGAUUUUGACAGUAAAUACACAAAUAUUAAGAAUAAAAUCGCUAAAAUUUAAAAAUUCAAUCUUUCCUUGCUUAAUUAUGUAUCUGCUAAUAGACAAAAUAUACCCAUUGUAGGAAGUAUUCAACUACAUGACUUUUCUUUGCUUCAAUUUAACUAAUUUUACUUUAACUUUGAUAAUAGUUUUAGUUUAAAUACUUGAAAUGUUUGUACAUUUUAGGUAUAACACAGCAUACAGGUAUUAAAUGCUAAUCAAAGGUUUAGGAACAAUCAACUUACACAAAAAAAGAACUUAGGUAAAAAAUACUUCAUCUGAUGAUGGGUCAUGGAAAAACUAUAGGCUCUAUCAUCAAUUUGAGAUUCGUCUUCUUAAAAUAUUAAUAAAAAAUGUUUGGAAACUUCAAGAAAAUAACGACAGACAGCUUUCUAACAGGGACACAAAAAUUCUGGAUCAUGGGAAUCUAAAUUUCAUGUGACAUAAUAAAAGGCAGGCAAAACUUAAAGAGCCUAAGUUUUUUUUUUUUAAAAAAAAAAACAAAACGUAACAGUAUUGCAAAUGCUCCUGUGUACUUUUGAAAUUUUUACUUGAUAUUUUGAAUUUUCAAAUAAAAAGUUCGGAAGCUUUUCCUCAGAGCUCCAAGAUGAUAUGAGAGGAAAACACCGUCUGCAUCCCUGUCUUCACUUAAAAGUAAAGACAAAAUACAUAGAAAUACAAAAUUCCCUUGUCAACAAUUUUUGGAAAAGAAAAUUGAAAUUUCACUAUCACACUACAACAGUGAAUAUAAUUGAGCAACUGUACGAAAACUAUGAAAAUUGAGAAAGGUUUCGGAAAUUGAAAUUGGACAUAAAUAACUUCGACCAAGAACAUUUUAAAAAACCAAGAAACAAACAAACCAACGAACAAAUAAAGAAGGGAAGAAAAAAAGAAACAAACAAACAAAGAAACAAAGAAAUGAACAAACAAACGAGCAAGCAAGACAAUAAAAUUCUGACAAGUUAACUUAGCAUAAAACACAGUUUUAUGCGGCACAAAUUCACAAUAACCAUAAUUUAAUUGUAAAUCAACAAUGACAUUAUUUUCUAUUCAAUAAUUUGAAUUAAUUAAAAUUACAAGAUUAAAAAACUGCUAGAGCUCUUUUAAACAUUAAAAGAAAAGACAACCUAAGAGAAUACUCCAAAAAAAAAACCUUCAGUCAAUCAAAACAUUAACCUCGGAGGUCUUCGUAGCAAACUUUUUGUGCAAUUUUAAGCAAACUAGUUUUCAAAAAUUUAGUGUCAUAAUUGCUGAGAUCCUGAUGAUAGUAUAAUGUUUACCUUGUCUUGAUUAAAAUUAUUAGAAAUGAUUCCCUACUCUACUGAGACUUCCCUUCAGUUCUAAGCUUUCCUUCAAAUUCAAUUGGUCUUCCCCCAAUUCAAUCAACCUUCUCCAUUUUAGAUCAAAACUCAUGAUUGCUUCCCCCAGAGGAAAAAAAUAAACCUUAUUUUAGGUGAGGCUCCCUGUUUUUGUCUCAUCUUCAUAGAGGCUUUCCUAUUACUUCCUGUUCUCACAGCGGUUUCCCCCACUUUUCACACGACUGAGCUGGUCCCAUGGCCGGAAAAUGUUUGCACCCCUAUGUUAUGCCCUAUGAGCCUAAAAAUACCCUUUUUCAGUCUAGCUCAUUUAAUUUCCUAUUGACUACAGGGAAUGGGUAGUGCGUGAGUAUCAAGUGUCUCUGGUGGCUUUAAUAUGAGGUAAAGAAACAGACAGAAGAGUAUUACUAAAGGGUAAUAGGAAGUAUGAAAAUAUUGAAAUUUUUUAGUUACGUAAUUCAUGUAGAGCUUAUAUCUAAUGGAAGAGGCACUUAAAUAGUUUCAUGAUGUCUUAACAUUUACUUGAAAAAUCAUACCUUCCUGCAACUUGUACGGCUAGAACUCAUCCUGUAGGAACUCAUGUGGGGAAAAUGUUGCUCUAAAUGUACUGGCCAAUAAAAUAUACUGGACAGAGAGCCUCUGUAUUGGGUGUUAUUGUGUGCUGAGGACCAUAAUUAUCAGCCGAAGCUUCUGAAAUUGAAGGCAGUCGGGCUAGAACUGUUGCUUGAGCAAAUUCACUGAGACCGCUACUAGCUUGAGGCCCUAAGGGACAGAAAAAGAGACAAACACCUCUAGAAUAAAAUAUAUUUUAGGGAUAAUGAAAACUGCCAGUCUUCAGCAUUAAAUAUACAGUUAUUGAGUGACAUUUUGUUUAAUUAUGAUAAUAUUAUACAGUCUCCUUUAGAAUAAAGUGAUAUACCUGAUGUGAAUUGAUCACACUGAAGAAAAGUAACUCUUUUGU